rnacentral:rRNA from 1 species
AUGGCGACUCUCUCCGCCCCCUUGCUCCGUUCCCACCACCGUCACCUCCCCGUCCGCUCCUCGCCGCGCCGCUGCCGGACCGCCGCCUUCCCGCGCGGGUUCGUUCCCCUCGAACCCCUCUCCUCCCGUGGCCCCCCACGCACCGCCGUACGCUCCGCCUCGACCUCGGCAGCGGCACCGGAGGCCGCCGAGGCAACGGGAGGCGCGGCCCCGAGCGAAACGGCCGCGGAGGAGGUGGAGGCGCAGGCGCGCGUCGUGCUCCCCACCAACGAGUCCUCCGAGAACCUGCUGCGCAUCCGCCACACCUGUGCCCAUGUCAUGGCCAUGGCCGUCCAGAAGCUGUUCCCCGACUCCAAAGUGACCAUAGGCCCCUGGAUAGACAAUGGCUUCUACUACGACUUCGACAUGGAGCCCCUGACGGAUAAGGACCUCAAGAAGAUCAAGAAGGAGAUGGACCGAAUCAUUCGACGGAACCUUCCAUUGGUGAGGGAGGAGGUGUCCAGGGAAGAGGCUCAAAAGAGGAUCCAAGCACUUAACGAGCCAUAUAAGCUGGAGAUUUUGGAGAGAAUUAAGGAAGAACCCAUCACAAUUUAUCACAUUGGAGAAGAGUGGUGGGAUCUGUGUGCUGGCCCUCAUGUUGAGUCUACUGGCAAGAUACAGAGAAAGGCUGUUGAGCUUGAGUCUGUUGCUGGUGCUUACUGGAGGGGUGAUGAGAAUAAUCAAAUGCUACAAAGGAUAUAUGGGACUGCAUGGGAGAGUGAAGAUCAAUUGAAGGCUUACAUCCACUUCAAGGAGGAGGCCAAGCGCAGAGACCAUCGGCGACUAGGUCAGGACCUUGAUCUGUUCUCUAUACAGGAAGAUGCUGGUGGGGGUUUAGUAUUCUGGCAUCCAAAAGGUGCUAUCAUCAGACACAUUUUAGAAGAUUCGUGGAAACAAACUCACCUGCAACGUGGUUAUGAUCUAUUGUACACUCCGCAUGUUGCGAAGGCUGAUCUCUGGAAGAUUAGCGGACAUAUAGAUUUCUACAAAGAGAAUAUGUACAACCAAAUGGAUGUAGAAGAUGAGCCAUAUCAACUUCGGCCCAUGAAUUGCCCUUACCACAUCUUGGUAUACAAGAGAAAGCUACAAUCAUACAGGGAUUUACCCAUCAGAGUGGCAGAGCUUGGAACUGUCUAUAGAUAUGAGCUCUCUGGUGCUCUGCAUGGGCUGUUCCGCGUAAGAGGGUUCACACAGGAUGAUGCCCACAUAUUUUGUCUCGAAGACCAGAUAAAAGAUGAAAUUAGAGGAGUUCUUGAUUUAACUGAAGAAAUACUGGGGCAGUUUGGCUUCCGGAAUUAUGAGGUAAACCUUUCAACCAGGCCAGAAAAAUCUGUUGGCAGUGACGACAUAUGGGAAAAGGCAACAAUUGCUCUGAAAGAUGCGCUAGAUGAUAAAGGUUGGGGAUACACGGUUGAUGAAGGGGGAGGUGCUUUCUAUGGUCCAAAAAUUGAUUUGAAAAUUGAGGACGCUCUUGGAAGAAAAUGGCAAUGUUCCACUGUGCAGGUUGACUUCAAUUUGCCUGAACGGUUUGACAUCACUUAUGUUGACUCGCAUACUGAGAAGAAACGGCCUAUCAUGAUUCAUAGAGCCAUCCUUGGGUCUUUGGAGCGCUUUUUUGGCAUCCUCAUUGAAAACUACGCUGGUGAUUUUCCACUUUGGCUUGCUCCAACCCAAGCUCGUAUUCUACCUGUCACAAACAAUGAGCUGCAGUACUGUAAUGAGGUGGCUUCAGAACUGAAAUCGAGAGGUAUCCGCGCCGAGGUAUGCCACGGCGAACGUCUGCCGAAGUUAAUCAGAAACGCCGAAACACAAAAGGUGCCGCUCAUGGCGGUCGUUGGCCCCAAGGAAGUCGAAGCUAGGACUCUCACCAUCAGGUCCAGGCAUAACGGGGAGAUGGGCACCAUGCCCGUCGACGAUUUCAUCAGCAAAAUCCAAUCGGCCGUUGCUGAAAAAUCUUCGCUGUAG